GAUGAACGCUAGCGGCAGGCUUAACACAUGCAAGUCGAGGGGUAUCACGCUUUCGGGCGUGAGAGACCGGCGCACGGGUGCGUAACGCGUAUGCAAUCUACCUUUUGCAGAGGGAUAGCCCAGAGAAAUUUGGAUUAAUACCUCAUAGUAUAGAACAAUCGCAUGAUUGAACUAUUAAAGUCACAACGGCAAAAGAUGGGCAUGCGUCCUAUUAGCUAGAUGGUAAGGUAACGGCUUACCAUGGCAACGAUAGGUAGGGGUCCUGAGAGGGAGAUCCCCCACACUGGUACUGAGACACGGACCAGACUCCUACGGGAGGCAGCAGUGAGGAAUAUUGGACAAUGGGCGCAAGCCUGAUCCAGCCAUGCCGCGUGCAGGAAGAAGCAUCUAUGGUGUGUAAACUGCUUUUGUACGGGAAGAAACACUCCUUCGUGAAGGAGCUUGACGGUACCGUAAGAAUAAGGAUCGGCUAACUCCGU
rnacentral:rRNA from 1 species